GUGGAGAUGCGUGGGAGGUAAUUGUUACACCAUUGGAUACUGUACUGAUUAAUGUGGAUCCCUCCCUUGCAUGGGAGAAUGCUUUAAAAGGAGGUUGUGUGGAAUAAAAGUUAGUUCUGCUCCUUAUGCUGUGCGUCGUCCAGUCAUUGGGAUCUGUAUGGGAAUAUUCGUGGAUUACCUUGUUUGCUGGAAUUAUUACUUUAUGGGAUUUUUCAUCACUUGUUCCUGAGCCUCACUGGGAUCUGUAGUGGAGUUAACCUGUGGAAUAUCAGGCCUCCGGUACAA